UCCGAGUUGACCCCGGCAGUCUCCUGUGAGUCCCCAUCACCCCGAAAGGCAUGCUGGCAACACAGAACAAGGGUUGCGCUCGUUGCGGGACUUAACCCAACAUCUCACGACACGAGCUGACGACAGCCAUGCACCACCUGUGCUAGCCCCUUACGGACACGGGCUUUCACCCGCUUUAACUAGCAUGUCAAGCCUAGGUAAGGUUCUUCGCGUUACAUCGAAUUAAACCACAUGCUCCACCGCUUGUGCGGGUCCCCGUCAAUUCCUUUGAGUUUUAGCCCUGCGGCCGUACUCCCCAGGCGGGGCACUUAAUGCGUUAGCUCCGGCACGGGAGGAGUCGACACCUCCCACACCUAGUGCCCAUCGUUUACGGCGUGGACUAC
rnacentral:misc_RNA from 1 species